rnacentral:rRNA from 1 species
UACGGAGGGUGCGAGCGUUGUCCGGAAUUACUGGGCGUAAAGGGUGCGUAGGCGGUUCGUUAAGUCUGUCGUGAAAUCCCCGGGCUCAACCUGGGAAUGGCGAUGGAUACUGGCGAGCUAGAGUGUGUCAGAGGAUGGUGGAAUUCCCGGUGUAGCGGUGAAAUGCGUAGAGAUCGGGGGGAACAUCAGUGGCGAAGGCGGCCAUCUGGGACAACACUGACGCUGAAGCACGAAAGCGUGGGGAGCAAACAGG